rnacentral:rRNA from 1 species
AUUGAACGCUGGCGGCAUGCUUUACACAUGCAAGUCGAACGGUAACAGGGUGCUUGCACCGCUGACGAGUGGCGAACGGGUGAGUAAUGCGUCGGAACGUGCCGAGUAGUGGGGGAUAACGCAUCGAAAGGUGUGCUAAUACCGCAUACGUACUGAGGUAGAAAGUGGGGGACCUUCGGGCCUCACGCUAUUCGAGCGGCCGACGUCUGAUUAGCUAGUUGGUGAGGUAAAGGCUCACCAAGGCGACGAUCAGUAGCGGGUCUGAGAGGAUGAUCCGCCACACUGGGACUGAGACACGGCCCAGACUCCUACGGGAGGCAGCAGUGGGGAAUUUUGGACAAUGGGCGCAAGCCUGAUCCAGCCAUGCCGCGUGUCUGAAGAAGGCCUUAUGGUUGUAAAGCACUUUAAGCGAGGAGGAGGCUACUCUAGUUAAUACCUAGGGAUAGUGGACGUUACUCGCAGAAUAAGCACCGGCUAACUCUGUGCCAGCAGCCGCCGCUGUAA